GGGGGGGGGGGGGUCGUUAAAUGUCAUAUCCUUGACAUUUAUGUAUACAUCCGGUUACUUCGGUAAAUUCCGUAAUUACGAGUAUCCCGAAAACGUCGUAUAACCCAUGCAUCGAUACAACUAAUUGAAAGAUGUCAAAUUAAUUAACAGAUACUUAACGAUUUUGCGGCAUCGCACUAUAAACGUUUGAAGUCGGUUUGUUGGAGUUCCUGUCAAUAUAAUACUUCCAUG
rnacentral:lncRNA from 1 species